CUGAUUUGGGGUUUUCCCCAAUCUUCUGCAAAUCCCUCCAUGGACACCAUAUUUUCUGUUUUGGCCUUAACAACAUCAAGAGCAACCUCGUUUGGGCUCACCCAGCCGAAUCUGCUCACCAAUCAAACUGAUUUCUCUAUCUGUUUUCACUUUUAUUUUUAAAAAUUGAUGUAUUUUUUUCUAGGGCUUAAUUUUCUGAGUUUCAGACGAAGAAGAUGGAAGAUGAGAUUGAGAGGAGAAUCUCAGCCAACACUUAUGGAAGUGUUUUCCCGAUGAGGAUGGAUUUUGAGAGGCAAAUUCUUUCCUGGGGAUUUGAUCUAAUGUGGAACUUUAUGUGGUUGAAGUCAGAGGCACGCAUCAUCAAUACAUGGUGUCAAUGCCAAGGUUAGUAAAUCCAUUGUUAUGUGAAUUUCAGUUGUAGUCAUGUGGUUAAAUUCAAUGCUCUUUGAAAUUAUGACUGUCUAUCAAUUAGAUCUUUCGUUUGUCUCAAAACGUAGUAUCAGGGUUGGUCUAUAUGGUUGUUUGUAUUUCAUGCUUGAUUUGGAAUGCUAGUCGAUCUUAUGCUUUUGUGUUCUCUAACUUUGACAGGUGUGCGGCUGCACCACAGGAACUUAGAACUGAUUGGGUGAAGUUUACUAAAGAUUACUUCCUGAAUAGGAUACCCUUAAGAUGUUUUCAACUUUUUUUUUCUUUAGGGUAGUUGUAUGAUGUAGUGGAUUUAUAUGAUGAUUCUUGAUGUAGUGGAACUAUAUGAUGAAAUCUGAAUGGAAUUAUUAAUAUUA